CCCUAAAUUUCCAAGAAUUCAUAUGCAGAGGAAAAUAAACAUGCAGAUGCAGAGUCACCAGCGCUGAGAACCGAAGGGUGCAGCGGCUGAAGCAAGAACAUCUUGGCUGGGAGGUGCAGCCUGCAUGGAGGACGGUGCUGCGGACACAGCGGAUUGACCACAAGAGGCCAUUGCGCCUCUGCCCUGUGUGCUGAGGUCUCUGAGCAAACAACCCUUCUCCUGGGAGAUGCUGCAGUCCAAAGCCAGGUCACUGGCUCUSUUUCUGGCA